rnacentral:rRNA from 1 species
CGUGUAGGCGGCUUUGCAAGUCGGGUGUGAAAGCCCUCAGCUCAACUGAGGAAGUGCGCCUGAAACUGCAGGGCUUGAGUACCGGAGAGGAUGGCGGAAUUCCCCAAGUAGAGGUGAAAUUCGUAGAUAUGGGGAGGAACACCGGUGGCGAAGGCGGCCAUCUGGACGGAUACUGACGCUGAGACGCGAAAGCGUGGGUAGCAAACA